AAAUUGAAGAGUUUGAUCAUGGCUCAGAUUGAACGCUGGCGGCAGGCCUAACACAUGCAAGUCGAACGGUAACAGGAAGCAGCUUGCUGCUUCGCUGACGAGUGGCGGACGGGUGAGUAAUGUCUGGGAAACUGCCUGAUGGAGGGGGAUAACUACUGGAAACGGUAGCUAAUACCGCAUAAUGUCGCAGGACCAAAGAGGGGGACCUUCGGGCCUCUUGCCAUCAGAUGUGCCCAGAUGGGAUUAGCUUGUUGGUGAGGUAACGGCUCACCAAGGCGACGAUCCCUAGCUGGUCUGAGAGGAUGACCAGCCACACUGGAACUGAGACACGGUCCAGACUCCUACGGGAGGCAGCAGUGGGGAAUAUUGCACAAUGGGCGCAAGCCUGAUGCAGCCAUGCCGCGUGUAUGAAGAAGGCCUUCGGGUUGUAAAGUACUUUCAGCGGGGAGGAAGGGGAUAAGGCUAAUAACCUUGUUCAUUGACGUUACCCGCAGAAGAAGCACCGGCUAACUCCGUGCCAGCAGCCGCGGUAAUACGGAGGGUGCAAGCGUUAAUCGGAAUUACUGGGCGUAAAGCGCACGCAGGCGGUCUGUCAAGUCGGAUGUGAAAUCCCCGGGCUCAACCUGGGAAC
rnacentral:rRNA from 1 species